rnacentral:rRNA from 1 species
CCUACGGGCGGCAGCAGUGGGGGAUAUUGCACAAUGGAGGAAACUCUGAUGCAGCGACGCCGCGUGAGGGAAGACGGUCUUCGGAUUGUAAACCUCUGUCUUUGGGGAAGAAAAUGACGGUACCCAAAGAGGAAGCUCCGGCAAACUACGUGCCAGGAGCCGCGGAAAUACGUAGGGCGCGAGCGUUGUCGGGAAUUACUGGGUGUAAAGGUAGCGGAGGCGGGCGUGAAAGUUGAAUUGUAAAUCUACCGGCUUAACUGGUAGCUGCAUUCAAGACUUCUUGUCUUGAGUGAAGUAGAGGCGGGCAGAAUUCCUGGUGUAGCGGUGAAAUGCGUAGAUAUUAGGAGGAACACCAGUGGCGAAGGCGGCCUGCUGGGCUUUAACUGACGCUGAGGCUCGAAAGCGUGGGGAGCAAACAGGAUUAGAUACCCUGGUAGUC